CAGGUCAAAUUCGGGGCCCCUGUCUACAAAAUACUAGAUACACGCCUGAAUAUUGUAUCCUGACCCCAAAAGGAGGCCGCCGAUUCUUUCAGUCGUACCGUCUUUUUUAUUACUUUUCUUUGCAACCCGACUUCGUUCAAGAAAGCCACUGCCAAGUAUAUUCAAACACGAACAAAAAAAUCCCUGUUAUGGUAGAUUUUGGUAAAUUGCUAAAAUGUGCAAUUUAGCAAAACAAGCCGUAACAAACUCUCGCCGAUGCGCAGAAAAGGAAGAAACUUUCUCGGCCGAAAAGCAUUCAGCAACUAAGGUAUGGACUAGGACGGGAAAUCUUCCUAUCGGCUAUCAAGGCAUUAUCUUUCCUGAAAAAGCGAUCAGCCAAAAGGAAAGCCGAAAAGAGCAAUAGACAACAAACAAGGUACAAGGGCUUGUAACAAGGAGGAUUUGCCACUUCCAACAGUUCCUAUCACCACUUAGUGUCUACGUACGCACCUGGAUAGCAGACUUUAUAUGAACUCCUUCUACUGCGGUCCAGAAGUAAUAUGUCUGAUCAAAGGUG